GAUGAACGCUAGCGGGAGGCUUAACACAUGCAAGUCGAGGGGUAAGAGGGUAGCAAUACGCUCUGAGACCGGCGCACGGGUGAGUAACGCGUAUGCAACCUGCCCUUUACAGGGGGAUAGCCCGGAGAAAUCCGGAUUAAUACCCCAUAGUUCUGCGACCCUGCAUGGGGAAUCAGGUAAAGCUGAGGCGGUAAAGGAUGGGCAUGCGUGACAUUAGCUAGUUGGCGGGUAACGCCCACCAAGGCUGCGAUGUCUAGGGGUUCUGAGAGGAAGGUCCCCCACACUGGUACUGAGACACGGACCAGACUCCUACGGGUGGCUG
rnacentral:rRNA from 1 species